rnacentral:lncRNA from 1 species
UUUGUUUCUUACUACACACCCCAUCACCGUGACUCUGGAGUCACAGGCCUUGCUAUUUUCCAUAAAUAUUCCACGUAUAUUCAAAUUCCAAGCCCUUUCACUUGCUCUUCCCUCUGUCUACAAGCUUUUGCUUCAGAUAUGCAUCUGGCUACUUUACUUUUCUCAAGUCUUUGCUCAACUGUGAGGUCUUCCCUGAUAUCUCUAUAAGCGCAACCCAUGCACCUUACCAUUCACUAUUUCCCUCUCACACUUUAUUUUUUUCCAUAGUACUUACCGCUGUCUAAUGCAUGUCAUCACUUACUUGCUUCAUUUGUUUUUAUCCUCUUCCCCACAUGUAAGAUCCCUGAGAGCAGAGACUUGUCCCUAUUUUUUUCCUUCCACUAGUCCUAGAGUGAUGCCUGGCAUAGAAUAGGCACUAUUUAUUGGAUGAGUAAUAGUAACUUAUAACUUGUAUUCUAGUUUCAUGUAGAAAACUGUUUUCCCCAUUUGCCUGUGAGCCGUUUAAGGGGAGGGUGGGUUUCACUGUGGGACCCCCACCCCCACCUCAAAGCGUCUAUUGCAGUAUACAAAAAAGAUGCUUGAUAUAUGCUUGUUAACGGAAUGAUGGAAGCAAAGAAUCACUCACCUUCAGUAUGGAGACAAAGAAACAAGGUCAUCCAGGAGAGUCCUGCUAAUGUGGAAGAUAGGAAGUACACCAAGGACUUAAAAUCCCUGGGAACAACCCUCCACCAGCAGUGGCAGUAGAUAAAUGCCCAACCUCAGCCUCUGGUCAACGUGGUCAGAAUAAGAUGGUGUCAGUUGUGUUUAAGUAUGAGCAGCUGUGAGCUGGUGAGCAGGGCAUUUAAGGAGUCAUUGCAUGUAUCAUCGUUGUCAAGAACAGGGCUUUAUAUAAAAAUGCCACCUUCAGUCAUUUAUUUUCAGUAUCCAGCAGUGGCUGGCAUCUAGUAGGUAUUCAGUGGAUGCCUGGGAAAUGAACAAACAUAUUCCUUUAAUGGUGGACUCAGCAGUCUUCAGAGCUUCCUUAAUGACUGGAGAAUGUCUUUAACUGUUAAACCUGUGCACCUGUGUUUCCCAGGCAUCCUUUGGCCUUGAAUUCCCAAAGGAACUCCUUCUCCCAUAUCUCCUAAGAGCUCUGGAAGUAGCAGCUCAUCAGUGCCCUCCCUGACCUGGGAGGUUAGGCCAGGAUGCCCCUAAGAUCGUCUGGUUAAUCCAGCCAAUCCCAGAGCUGGGGCCAGAACCCCUGUGUGUAGCCCUCUUCCCACAGUAGCCACUGUGGACAAUCCAAGAAAGUACUCGGGGAGGCUAACAGCCGUAUUUUCAGAUUCAAUUUCAACAAAGUGUUACCAUUUAAGAAAGCCUGCCAAAAAGAUAAUGGGGAUGAAAGAGUGCUCUGUAAACUGUAAAGUGCCAUUCAAAGGUUAGCCAUCUGAGGUUCACUGCCAAGGUCAAUAAACCAAGGCCUGGGUGUAGAGCCA